UCCCUGGUGGUCUAAGCGGCUAAGGAUCCUGUGCUCACACCGCCAUGGGUUGGGUUUGAUUCCCGGGCAGGGAA